UGGGGAAUAUUGCACAAUGGGCGAAAGCCUGAUGCAGCAACGCCGCGUGAGUGAUGAAGGCCUUCGGGUUGUAAAGCUCUGUCUUUUGGGACGAUAAUGACGGUACCAAAGGAGGAAGCCACGGCUAACUACGUGCCAGCAGCCGCGGUAAUACGUAGGUGGCAAGCGUUGUCCGGAUUUACUGGGCGUAAAGGAUGCGUAGGCGGAUUUUUAAGUGAGAUGUGAAAACCCUAAGCUUAACUUGGGGACUGCAUUUCAUACUGGAAAUCUAGAGUGCGGGAGAGGAGAAUGGAAUUCCUAGUGUAGCGGUGAAAUGCGUAGAGAUUAGGAAGAACACCAGUGGCGAAGGCGAUUCUCUGGACCGUAACUGACGCUGAGGCAUGAAAGCGUGGGUAGCAAACAGGAUUAGAUACCCUGGUAGUCCACGCCGUAAACGAUGAGUACUAGGUGUAGGAGGUAUCGACCCCUUCUGUGCCGCAGUUAACACAAUAAGUACUCCGCCUGGGAAGUACGAUCGCAAGAUUAAAACUCAAAUGAAUUGACGGGG
rnacentral:rRNA from 1 species